AGAAGAGUUGGUCUUUUGAGAGCAGCGGAAACUUCCCAUUCUUCUUGUCUUCUUAUGACCUGUUUUCCAUAAGCAAUACCACAAUACUUUUGUAGCCAAGCAACUGGUCAUUAUUUACCUAUUUCUUCUAGGGGCAGUGGCAUAUGGUUACAGACUCUCUUUAGUGCAAGAUUCACCGAAAAGCUGUGAAGUGACAGUAUGAGACUGCAGAGAAAUGUAUCAGAGUCAUGUCAGAGGCUCUCGUCUGCAACUACAUGGAUGAGCCAGCCCCAAAAGCCGGUCCAGCUCCAGGUUCCCAGUAAGAUUCCUCCAAUCGCAUAGCAAAGCAGCGGACAAAAGCUCUCCUCACCCACUGCAGUGCUUCAGCUUACCUCUACUGCUUUGGCAUAGGAGGAAGAAAACCUGACUUUAGAAAAGGAAUUCAGACAGGAAGCAGCAACGUUCCAGGAAGAUUUCCGAGUCAAACAGGAAAGCAACUGGAUUCUCAAAGUGCAUAUUUCAGAGAUUCCCCAAAACAUUUGGCUACAGAGUUGGAGCAGGGCUGAGGAACCAGUGCCUCAGAUGACCUGGACUCCCCAGCACUUGUGCAAUGUGUCAGAGAUGAGCAUCAUGAGCCUCUCUGGAGCAGAAAGAGAAACCCCUGUACUCUGUACUUUGUGGUCACAUUAGCAGUAACAGGAGUCCCUAAGACAAGGCGUCUGCAUGGCUGCUGAUCCUGCCAGGACAACUCUGGGAUCAUGUACACUGAGCUGAGAUGGCAGAAGAACUAAAGAAGCUCAUGAAGUUGAGGAUGGCAGAGCACAACGGUGGUGGCAGCAAGGCUGUUCUUCCGUCAGCAGAAGGUUAAACCAGAACUGGGCAGACAGGAUUAAGCCUUCCAGCACUUCGUACUGAGGCAUCAAGAACAGAACAAGCAGCAUCCUACUGGUUUCUGCACAGGUAAAUCUGCUGUGUAUGAGCGACACUAGAUUUUUUGCAAGGCAUGUUUCAGGGAUGACACAGAGACUUACUUAGCAUCACAUUUCAUUGAGGAUAGCCUCUCCAUGAUCAGACAUUUCUCUCUUGGAGUAAGAAUGCUGUAACCUCAGGGCUCACCAGAAAUGAUCAUGCACCAAUAGGCUGUGGGUUUUUUUUUUUUUCCCAUGCUGCGCUGUUUCAUGAGAUGUGGUGACUGACUCACAGCGCUGCUCUCUCUUUGAGCAGUAUGUUUGGGGUGUAGCUUUAAUGGACUUACUCUAAAGUGGAAUUUUUAGCUCUAAAUGCAAUUGGUCAGCUUUUAAGUCCUCCCCCCCCCCCUUUACUGUGCAACACUUCACACAAAGCAUUUCCUUAAUUUGUCAGAGCAAGUGGGGAUAACAAAAUUAACAGGAGAUUUGGCUCAUUUCCUCACCUAAUAGCAACUAAGAAAAAAAUGAAAUAUGUGGCUGACAUUUUAAUUAAGGGCCUGUUUUGCCUGCAGAGGCACAUGUCUAUAUGUGCCAUCAUACCCUAACUGCAGCCAUUUUCGUUAACUCACUAAUAAGAGGAAGUAUAAAUUAAUUUCCCAUCCGCCACACUUUGCGUUUCAGAAAUUACCUAAAUUGCACCCUCAAAAUACUGUUACUGAGUGCUGCUGUCUAAAAUAUGUUCAUAUUUAAUGUGUCUUAAGAGUAUAAUGAUUCUAACAUAAGAUAUACUGUCUCUAUGA